rnacentral:rRNA from 1 species
AUUGAACGCUGGCGGCAGGCCUAACACAUGCAAGUCGAGCGGAUGACGGGAGCUUGCUCCUUGAUUCAGCGGCGGACGGGUGAGUAAUGCCUAGGAAUCUGCCUGGUAGUGGGGGACAACGUUUCGAAAGGAACGCUAAUACCGCAUACGUCCUACGGGAGAAAGCAGGGGACCUUCGGGCCUUGCGCUAUCAGAUGAGCCUAGGUCGGAUUAGCCAGUUGGUGGGGUAAUGGCUCACCAAGGCGACGAUCCGUAACUGGUCUGAGAGGAUGAUCAGUCACACUGGAACUGAGACACGGUCCAGACUCCUACGGGAGGCAGCAGUGGGGAAUAUUGGACAAUGGGCGAAAGCCUGAUCCAGCCAUGCCGCGUGUGUGAAGAAGGUCUUCGGAUUGUAAAGCACUUUAAGUUGGGAGGAAGGGCAGUAAGUUAAUACCUUGCUGUUUUGACGUUACCGACAGAAUAAGCACCGGCUAACUCUGUGCCAGCAGCCGCAGUAAAAC